rnacentral:rRNA from 1 species
AUGGCUCGCUGUGUUUGGGCUUUGGGAGAUGAAGAAGUGCUAGAGCAUGUGAUUUCAAACCAAGGUGAAGAUGCUUGCUUAUGGCUGUUCUGGUUGUUUGACACUAUGCAUCAACAUGGUUUUGCACAAGUAUUGGUCACAAUGUGGGCAAUAUGGUGGGAUCGACGGCGAGCCAUCCAUGAUGGGGAGUUUCAGAGUCCGCUCACCACAAUGGGAUUUAUCAAUAGAUACCUGGAAGAAAUGGAGAUUGUUGCGGCUCAUGCUCCUUGUAGUCCAGUUUUACAAGCGAGGGCUGUUAGGAUAAAACAAUGGAUCAAACUAGAUGGAGAUGCGGUGAAAAUUAACGUUGAUGGGACUCAUCGGGACAUUACCUGGGAGCUUCAGGCGUUGCUUUUGAAGGAUUGGUUGAGUCGGCUAGUUUGGAGGUGCAGGCUUGCAAUGAGGCCAUAUCUCUUGCCUUAG